rnacentral:rRNA from 1 species
UUUAAUUGAAAUCUUGUAUGAAUGAUUGAACAAGAGAAAAACUGUCUUUAUAUUAAAGUUUGAAUUUAACUUUUAAGUGAAAAGGCUUAAAUACCCUAAAGGGACGAUAAGACCCUAUAAAACUUUACAUUAAUUGUUAAUAUUUUAUUUAAUUUUGUUAUUACGAUUUAAAUUUAAUUUUUUGUUAUGUUGGGGAGACAAAAGCUAUAAUUUAUAUUAACUGCUUGAAGAGAAAUCAGUAAAUUAGUGACUAAAUUGUUAUAGAUCCUUUAUAAAGACUGAAAGAUUAAGUUACUUUAGGGAUAACAGCGUUAUUUUUUUUGAGAGUCCAUAUCGAAAAAAAAGAUUGCGACCUCGAUGUUGAAUUAAAAUAUCUUUAUAAUGCAGGUGUUAUAUAAGAAGGUCUGUUCGACCUUUAAUUUUUUAC